rnacentral:rRNA from 1 species
AUUGAACGCUGGCGGCAUGCUUUACACAUGCAAGUCGAACGGUAACAGGUUAAGCUGACGAGUGGCGAACGGGUGAGUAAUGCAUCGGAACGUGCCCGAUCGUGGGGGAUAACGCAGCGAAAGCUGCGCUAAUACCGCAUACGAUCUGGGGAUGAAAGCGGGGGACCGUAAGGCCUCGCGCGAUCGGAGCGGCCGAUGUCAGAUUAGGUAGUUGGUGGGGUAAAGGCUCACCAAGCCGACGAUCUGUAGCUGGUCUGAGAGGACGACCAGCCACACUGGGACUGAGACACGGCCCAGACUCCUACGGGAGGCAGCAGUGGGGAAUUUUGGACAAUGGGCGAAUGCCUGAUCCAGCAAUGCCGCGUGCAGGAAGAAGGCCUUCGGGUUGUAAACUGCUUUUGUACGGAGCGAAAAGGCUCUCUCUAAUACAGGGGGCUCAUGACGGUACCGUAAGAAUAAGCACCGGCUAACUACGUGCCAGCCGCCGCAGUAACAC